rnacentral:rRNA from 1 species
CCUACGGGAGGCAGCAGUGAGGAAUAUUGGUCAAUGGGCGAAAGCCUGAACCAGCGAAGUCGCGUGAGGGAAGACGGCCCUACGUGUGGUAAACUUCUUUUAUAAAGAAGUAAAUGAAGGCACGUGUGCCUGUAUGUAUGGACUUUAUGAAUAAGGAUCGGGUAACUCCGUGCCAGCGGCCGCGGUAAUACGGAGGAUCCGAGCGUUAUCCGGAUUUAUUGGGUUUAAAGGGAGCGUAGAUGGGUUGUUAAGUCAGGUGUGAAAGUUUGCGGCUCAACCGUAAAAUUGCAAUUGAUACUGGCAGUCUUGAGUACAGUUGAGGUAGGCGGAAUUCGUGGUGUAGCGGUGAAAUGCUUAGAUAUCACGAAGAACUCCGAUUGCGAAGGCAGCUUACUAAACUGCCACUGACAUUGAUGCUCGAAAGUGUGGGUAGCAAACAGGAUUAGAUACCCUUGUAGUC